rnacentral:rRNA from 1 species
CCUACGGGGGGCAGCAGUGAGGAAUAUUGGUCAAUGGCCGGGAGGCUGAACCAGCCAAGCCGCGUGAAGGACGAAGGUGCCAAGCAUUGUAAACUUCUUUUGUCAAGGGACAAAAUCAGGCUCGAGAGCCUGACCGAGGGUACUUGAAGAAAAAGCAUCGGCUAACUCCGUGCCAGCAGCCGCGGUAAUACGGAGGAUGCGAGCGUUAUCCGGAUUUAUUGGGUUUAAAGGGUGCGUAGGCGGGGUGUUAAGUCAGCGGUAAAAUCCCGGGGCUCAACCCCGGCGAGCCGUUGAAACUGGCUGUCUUGAGAUGUCGAGAGGUAUGCGGAAUGCGCAGUGUAGCGGUGAAAUGCUUAGAUAUUGCGCAGAACUCCGAUUGCGAAGGCAGCAUACCGGCGGCGAUCUGACGCUGAGGCACGAAAGCGUGGGUAUCGAACAGGAUUAGAUACCCCUGUAGUC